rnacentral:rRNA from 1 species
UACGUAGGGGGCUAGCGUUGUCCGGAAUCAUUGGGCGUAAAGCGCGCGUAGGCGGCCAGAUAAGUCCGGUGUGAAAGUCACAGGCUCAACCUGUGAAUGCCGCUGGAAACUGCCUGGCUUGAGUCCGGAAGGGGCGAGUGGAAUUCCUGGUGUAGCGGUGAAAUGCGCAGAUAUCAGGAGGAACACCAAUGGCGAAGGCAGCUCGCUGGAACGGUACUGACGCUGAGACGCGAAAGCGUGGGGAGCGAACAGG